GAUGAACGCUAGCGGCAGGCCUAACACAUGCAAGUCGAGGGGUAGCAGGAUAAAGCUUGCUUUAUUGCUGACGACCGGCGCACGGGUGCGUAACGCGUAUGCAACCUACCUUAUACUGGGGUAUAGCCCGGAGAAAUUCGGAUUAAUCCCCCAUAGUAUUAUCGAUUCGCAUGUUUUGAUAAUUAAAGGUUACGGUAUAAGAUGGGCAUGCGUCCCAUUAGCUAGAUGGUGAGGUAACGGCUCACCAUGGCGACGAUGGGUAGGGGGCCUGAGAGGGUGGUCCCCCACACUGGUACUGAGACACGGACCAGACUCCUACGGGAGGCAGCAGUGAGGAAUAUUGGUCAAUGGGCGCAAGCCUGAACCAGCCAUGCCGCGUGCAGGAAGACGGUCCUAUGGAUUGUAAACUGCUUUUAUUCGGGAAUAAACCUCCUUACGUGUAGGGAGCUGAAGGUACCGAAUGAAUAAGCACCGGCUAACUCCGUGCCAGCCGCCGCGGUAACAC
rnacentral:rRNA from 1 species